UUAAGCGACUAAGCGUACACGGUGGAUGCCCUGGCAGUCAGAGGCGAUGAAGGACGUGCUAAUCUGCGAUAAGCGUCGGUAAGGUGAUAUGAACCGUUAUAACCGGCGAUUUCCGAAUGGGGAAACCCAGUGUGAUUCGUCACACUAUCAUUAACUGAAUCCAUAGGUUAAUGAGGCGAACCGGGGGAACUGAAACAUCUAAGUACCCCGAGGAAAAGAAAUCAACCGAGAUUCCCCCAGUAGCGGCGAGCGAACGGGGAGCAGCCCAGAGCCUGAAUCAGUGUGUGUGUUAGUGGAAGCGUCUGGAAAGGCGCGCGAUACAGGGUGACAGCCCCGUACACAAAAAUGCACAUACUGUGAGCUCGAUGAGUAGGGCGGGACACGUGGUAUCCUGUCUGAAUAUGGGGGGACCAUCCUCCAAGGCUAAAUACUCCUGACUGACCGAUAGUGAACCAGUACCGUGAGGGAAAGGCGAAAAGAACCCCGGCGAGGGGAGUGAAAAAGAACCUGAAACCGUGUACGUACAAGCAGUGGGAGCCUCUUAAUGGGGUGACUGCGUACCUUUUGUAUAAUGGGUCAGCGACUUAUAUUCUGUAGCAAGGUUAACCGAAUAGGGGAGCCGAAGGGAAACCGAGUCUUAACUGGGCGUUAAGUUGCAGGGUAUAGACCCGAAACCCGGUGAUCUAGCCAUGGGCAGGUUGAAGGUUGGGUAACACUAACUGGAGGACCGAACCGACUAAUGUUGAAAAAUUAGCGGAUGACUUGUGGCUGGGGGUGAAAGGCCAAUCAAACCGGGAGAUAGCUGGUUCUCCCCGAAAGCUAUUUAGGUAGCGCCUCGUGAAUUCAUCUCCGGGGGUAGAGCACUGUUUCGGCAAGGGGGUCAUCCCGACUUACCAACCCGAUGCAAACUGCGAAUACCGGAGAAUGUUAUCACGGGAGACACACGGCGGGUGCUAACGUCCGUCGUGAAGAGGGAAACAACCCAGACCGCCAGCUAAGGUCCCAAAGUCAUGGUUAAGUGGGAAACGAUGUGGGAAGGCCCAGACAGCCAGGAUGUUGGCUUAGAAGCAGCCAUCAUUUAAAGAAAGCGUAAUAGCUCACUGGUCGAGUCGGCCUGCGCGGAAGAUGUAACGGGGCUAAACCAUGCACCGAAGCUGCGGCAGCGACGCUUAUGCGUUGUUGGGUAGGGGAGCGUUCUGUAAGCCUGCGAAGGUGUACUGUGAGGUAUGCUGGAGGUAUCAGAAGUGCGAAUGCUGACAUAAGUAACGAUAAAGCGGGUGAAAAGCCCGCUCGCCGGAAGACCAAGGGUUCCUGUCCAACGUUAAUCGGGGCAGGGUGAGUCGACCCCUAAGGCGAGGCCGAAAGGCGUAGUCGAUGGGAAACAGGUUAAUAUUCCUGUACUUGGUGUUACUGCGAAGGGGGGACGGAGAAGGCUAUGUUGGCCGGGCGACGGUUGUCCCGGUUUAAGCGUGUAGGCUGGUUUUCCAGGCAAAUCCGGAAAAUCAAGGCUGAGGCGUGAUGACGAGGCACUACGGUGCUGAAGCAACAAAUGCCCUGCUUCCAGGAAAAGCCUCUAAGCAUCAGGUAACAUCAAAUCGUACCCCAAACCGACACAGGUGGUCAGGUAGAGAAUACCAAGGCGCUUGAGAGAACUCGGGUGAAGGAACUAGGCAAAAUGGUGCCGUAACUUCGGGAGAAGGCACGCUGAUAUGUAGGUGAAGUCCCUUGCGGAUGGAGCUGAAAUCAGUCGAAGAUACCAGCUGGCUGCAACUGUUUAUUAAAAACACAGCACUGUGCAAACACGAAAGUGGACGUAUACGGUGUGACGCCUGCCCGGUGCCGGAAGGUUAAUUGAUGGGGUUAGCGGUAACGCGAAGCUCUUGAUCGAAGCCCCGGUAAACGGCGGCCGUAACUAUAACGGUCCUAAGGUAGCGAAAUUCCUUGUCGGGUAAGUUCCGACCUGCACGAAUGGCGUAAUGAUGGCCAGGCUGUCUCCACCCGAGACUCAGUGAAAUUGAACUCGCUGUGAAGAUGCAGUGUACCCGCGGCAAGACGGAAAGACCCCGUGAACCUUUACUAUAGCUUGACACUGAACAUUGAGCCUUGAUGUGUAGGAUAGGUGGGAGGCUUUGAAGUGUGGACGCCAGUCUGCAUGGAGCCGACCUUGAAAUACCACCCUUUAAUGUUUGAUGUUCUAACGUUGGCCCCUAAUCGGGGUUGCGGACAGUGUCUGGUGGGUAGUUUGACUGGGGCGGUCUCCUCCUAAAGAGUAACGGAGGAGCACGAAGGUUGGCUAAUCCUGGUCGGACAUCAGGAGGUUAGUGCAAUGGCAUAAGCCAGCUUGACUGCGAGCGUGACGGCGCGAGCAGGUGCGAAAGCAGGUCAUAGUGAUCCGGUGGUUCUGAAUGGAAGGGCCAUCGCUCAACGGAUAAAAGGUACUCCGGGGAUAACAGGCUGAUACCGCCCAAGAGUUCAUAUCGACGGCGGUGUUUGGCACCUCGAUGUCGGCUCAUCACAUCCUGGGGCUGAAGUAGGUCCCAAGGGUAUGGCUGUUCGCCAUUUAAAGUGGUACGCGAGCUGGGUUUAGAACGUCGUGAGACAGUUCGGUCCCUAUCUGCCGUGGGCGCUGGAGAACUGAGGGGGGCUGCUCCUAGUACGAGAGGACCGGAGUGGACGCAUCACUGGUGUUCGGGUUGUCAUGCCAAUGGCACUGCCCGGUAGCUAAAUGCGGAAGAGAUAAGUGCUGAAAGCAUCU
rnacentral:rRNA from 1 species